GAUGAACGCUAGCUACAGGCUUAACACAUGCAAGUCGAGGGGUAACGAGAGGAAAGCUUGCUUUCCUUGUCGACGACCGGCGCACGGGUGAGUAACGCGUAUCCAACCUGCCCCCAACUAGGGAAUAACCUUGCGAAAGUAAGACUAAUACCCUAUAAUUUCCUCAGAUGACAUCUGACGAGGAAUAAAGAUUUAUCGGUUGUGGAUGGGGAUGCGUCUGAUUAGCUUGUUGGCGGGGUAACGGCCCACCAAGGCAACGAUCAGUAGGGGUUCUGAGAGGAAGGUCCCCAACAUGGGAACUGAGACACGGUCCAAACUCCUACGGGAGGCAGCAGUGAGGAAUAUUGGUCAAUGGGCGGAAGCCUGAACCAGCCAAGUAGCGUGCAGGAUGACGGCCCUAUGGGUUGUAAACUGCUUUUAUACAGGAAUAAAGUUAGCCACGUGUGGUUAUUUGUAGGUACUGUAUGAAUAAGGACCGGCUAAUUCCGUGCCAGCAGCCGCAGUAA
rnacentral:rRNA from 1 species